UCUACAAAAAUAAUUUAAAUGGUGCUUAGUUCCUCAAUUUUUUGAGAUAGAUUUUACCAACACUGUUAGAUGAUCAUCCUCCGUAACAACGACAAAGAAUGAUUCUCCUGCUUGAUGAGCUGGUGAGAAGUUGUUUCAAUCGUCACUUCCGGGAUAGGUGGAUAGGACCUCAUGGCCCGAUCUGUUGACCUCAGUAGAAGAAAUGCGGCAAAAGGUAAAAACUGCUUGUAAAUCCAUCUCCCCGACUCUAUCGCUCUGGGCACCGGUGAAGAAUGGUUAAAAAGGGCAAUUUUUACGCAAGGGUCGUAUUUGAAAUUAUGAAUUUGACCUGCGCCAGAGGCACCCCACCCUGUACACGUUUUCUCCGAAAAGAGCGCCAUUGGUUCGAGCGAAAUUCAGCCGGAUCAACUAAAAAGGAACUAUUGGACGAAUUGUUUGUAAACAAGCAAGGGAAGAUUAAAAAAAAAGAAAUUCUGAAAACUACAAACAAAAACAUGUUACACCUAUUCUUCCUAAACAUUUAGUGUCAUGAGACGCCAC